CUCGUAGGCGGCUCGGUAAGUCGGGUGUGAAACCUCCAGGCUCAACCUGGAGACGCCACCUGAUACUGCUGUGGCUAGAGUCCGGUAGGGGAGUGUGGAACUCCUGGUGUAGCGGUGAAAUGCGCAGAUAUCAGGAAGAACACCAGCGGCGAAGGCGGCACUCUGGGCCGGAACUGACGCUGAGGAGCGAAAGCGUGGGUAGCAAACA
rnacentral:rRNA from 1 species